CUUCAAUAUAGAAGCUGCAUUAAACAAAAGAUGGGAUUUUCCUACCCCUACCAGGAACCAACCAUCAUAAGACCUUUUAUAAGACGCCAAACUCUCGAGAAGCUCCUUCUCCCCCAUUGAGGCAAUCGGACAAAUUGCUCAUCAUCACCAUCCAGUCUGUUUCUUCUCAAUUCUUAAAUUGAAAUAAGGUAAAAUAUUUUCUUUUCUUUUGAAGAGAAACAGGAAUUUCGUAGAUUAAUUACUAACCUUCUGUUUUACAUAUUUGAAUCAUAAAUACAGAAACCCUAAAUUGAUGAAUUUGGUAACGGCCUUGGUACCCUCACGAUCAAACUAACAUCCGUCUGAAUUUUGUGUAGUUUUUUUAUUUUUAUUUUUUUUCUGGGAAUUGUAUUAACGAACGACCCUUUCGAUCUGGAACCAGACUUUUUAGUUUUGACGAAACAACAAACAGUAUCUGAUUUUUAUAAUUUGUUCUACUGAGCAUAUAAUUUCUCCCCCUCCCCCCCCCACCCCCCGGCGCCCCAAUUGCGGUGGGGAUUCUGUGGAUUUUUAGCUGUUUUUUUAUUUUACUUUUUGCUAUAAAUCCUCGACAAGAUCAUUUCUUUAUGUUUGAUUUUUUUGAAGUGAACUUUUGAAUUCUGUAUUCAAAAUUCAGUCUUCAAAAUCUCUUUUUAGCUUCUAUUUGUUGUAAGUCACCGUUUGCCUCAGAAACUUAAGCUAAAAGCAGCAUUGAGAAACUUAAGCUCAAAAAAUAAAAUAAAUAAAAUAAAAUUGUUGUAUUCGACAAGCUAAAGUGAGAUAACAAAUUCUCCAAGUACUAUUCCCUUAUCUAUUUCUAAAAUAUUCAUUUCCAUUUAACCACUUGUUGUAUACAAUUGUAGGAGCCGGGCAAAUAAGUAUUCAAAAGAUGAUCUGAAAUAUAUUUUGCUAAAAAAAGUUUUGAUUUAUUUAGAUUUCUAACUUUAAAGUAUUGCAUUUAUGCCCCCAUUCUGGUUGUUAUUUUAAAUGAACUCAUAAUCAUGUGAUGCUUGAGUUAUGAACUCAUAAUAUAUAAAAUUAUUAGCUUGUCAUGGCUAACAUUUUCGUUGUUAUAUUUUCUUCUUAUCUUAAUUGUUCUAUUAUUGACCCAAAAGUAAAUGAAAACUUGCAAACCUAGGAACUCUUGUUCUUGAAGAGAUUUGUUAUACUCGAAAAUAAUUUGUUGUUUGAUACAGGAAAUUAAAGACAUAUAUGAUGAUAUUGAAGCCUCAAAGAGCAGAGUAAAAGAAUUUUUAAAAUUAUUAGAGCAUCAUUUACAGGUAGCUUUCCAACCCCAUAUUUGUUUAGAUGGAAUUUGAACCUUACAACUUUAAAUUGUGUUUUAAAUCUUUUAUUUAUAAAAGAGAAAAAAAAAACAAAUUUUUACUCUAAUGUUACGUUCUUCUUGUAGAAGGAAAAUGCAACUGUUGAGAACCCAAAUCAAUUUAUCGACAAUGGGGUCCUUACAGAAAAUCAAGGAAUUGGUGGCUCUUAGACAUUGACUACACGUAUAGUAGAUGAGUAUCUAAUAAAUUUGAAGUAAUACUAGUGUUGAUUUUAACUAUUAUUUAUAUUUACAGUUUGUUUCUCUUAGAUUUUUAUUCUUCUUUAUGAACAUUAAUUUUAAAAUUGUAUUUUUACUUCAUUGUAAACAUUAAUUUUUUAAACAUAUUAUAGAAUUUUAUUCGAAUCUUUAUAAAUUGUGAGUCGUGAUAUGGUGCAUGUAGGUUAUUGAUGACCACUAACAUAUGCUCGUGUAUGUACAUCAGCAGGUUCAAAGAUAAUGUCUCCUACCUAGAUUUUGAUAUCUUGUUGAGUAAUGUUAUUUAGAAUAGUUUAUGCGGCAACGGAUCAUUACUCCAUUGUCUAAUGAAAUUGAUAUGUGUUUUCAUACUUUGAACAAUAUAGAAGUAAUCUAGUGUCAUAUAGAUUGGUACUAAGUAUCAAGUCUAUUAAAUAACAUUACUUUUUU
rnacentral:lncRNA from 1 species